CCCUACGGGGCGCAGCAGGCGCGAAAACUCUACAAUGCAGGCAACUGCGAUAGGGGGACAUCGAGUGGCAUCCACCUUGGGUGCCUGUCCAACCGUCUAAAAAACGGUUGUUAGCAAGGGCCGGGUAAGACCGGUGCCAGCCGCCGCGGUAAUACCGGCGGCUCGAGUGGUGGCCGAUAUUAUUGAGUCUAAAGGGUCCGUAGCCGGCUUUGCAAGUCCCCUGGGAAAUCCAGCGGCUUAACCGUUGGGCUUCCAUGGGAUACUACAUUGCUUGGGACUGGGAGAGGUAGGAGGUACUCGGGGGGUAGGGGUGAAAUCCUGUAAUCCA
rnacentral:rRNA from 1 species